CCAAUAGCGUAUAUUAAAGUUGUUGCAGUUAAAAAGCUCGUAGUUGAAUUUCGGGAUCGAAUUGUUGGUCGUGCUUCGGUACGCACUGGCGUUAUUGGUUCCUCCCUUCUGAAGAACCACGAUGUCAUUAAUUUGGUGUCGCGGGGAAUCAGGACUGUUACUUUGAAAAAAUUAGAGUGUUUAAAGCAGGCUCGCGCUUGAAUACAUUAGCAUGGAAUAAUGAAAUAGGACGUUUGAUUCUAUUUUGUUGGUUUCUAGGAUCGACGUAAUGAUUAAUAGGGAUAGUUGGGGGCAUUAGUAUUCAAUUGUCAGAGGUGAAAUUCUUGGAUUUAUUGAAGACUAACUACUGCGAAAGCAUUUGCCAAGGAUGUUUUCAUUAAUCAAGAACGAAAGUUAGGGGAUCGAAGACGAUCAGAUACCGUCGUAGUCUUAACCAUAAACUAUGCCGACUAGGGAUCGGAUGAUGUUAAUUUUUUAAUGACUCAUUCGGCGCCUUACG
rnacentral:rRNA from 1 species